UAUAUAUAUAUAAGUAUAUAAGUAUAAGUCUUGAUUAAAAACUUGACGUUCACGCAUAUAAUACUUGACACUGUUAUUAUUAUACUCAACAUGUGUCUCAUUCGCGGGCAUAUUACAAUUUACAAGUACCUAAUACCUACCUAGAUAUACAUUAUAUAUUAUCUAGUUUUGCAUUUAGUACCUAAUCUUUAAGUCACAUACAUACCAGAUGUUUAGCUUUAAAUGUUGGUCUUAACACUAAUAGAGAUAACCUUCACUCGUAUUGAUGGUUGUUACUUCAUAACAUUCAAUUCAAUAUAGUAUAAUACAGUAAUAUACCUAGUAUUAUAACUUAAAUUGAAAUGUUGUCAGGAGGCACUCUUUCGAUUUGAUAUCAAAUAAAAUAUGAAUACCUAAUACCUAGUAAAAAACCGUUGAAGUACAGAACUCGACUGGAUAUACAUCCUCUUCAAGUAAUAUCAUAAAUUCGUUUAUAGUAUAACUCAUGACUUAUAGUUUACAUUGGCAAUAUUAGUUAUUUUUAAAGGAACAAAUCCUAAACAAUAAGUGGUAACAAUUACAGAUAUUUGGCAACACAUUCUAAAUGCUAUUGUCCUUCCCGUAACUAGAGAAAUAGUUCCAGCAAACACAUUGAAAUACAUA